UCCCUGCUGGCUCAGACGGUAAAGCGUCUGCCUGCAAUGCGGGAGACCCGGGUUCGAUUCCUGGGUUGGGAA
rnacentral:tRNA from 1 species